rfam:Aureimonas ureilytica strain NS365 contig_58, whole genome shotgun sequence.
GGCCGGGCAGGGGAAGUUCGAUUGCCCGUUCAAGCGAUGAUCGCGCUCAUCGGCGAUCAUCGCGGUGUCUCCGGGGUUGAGCCGAUCUACCGGGUUUUGCCGAUCGCCCCA